GGGCUGGUCAGCUCAGUCAGUUGAGCGUGGUGCUAACAACGCUAAGGUCACGGGCUCGAUUCCCGUUUGCUCCC
rnacentral:tRNA from 1 species